UACAGAGGGUGCAAGCGUUAAUCGGAAUUACUGGGCGUAAAGCGCGCGUAGGUGGUUUGUUAAGUUGGAUGUGAAAUCCCCGGGCUCAACCUGGGAACUGCAUUCAAAACUGACAAGCUAGAGUAUGGUAGAGGGUGGUGGAAUUUCCUGUGUAGCGGUGAAAUGCGUAGAUAUAGGAAGGAACACCAGUGGCGAAGGCGACCACCUGGACUGAUACUGACACUGAGGUGCGAAAGCGUGGGAAGCAAACAGG
rnacentral:rRNA from 1 species